ensembl:lncRNA
UUCCUCUCUUGACCAAUCAGCUCUCAGGAGUGGGAAACCACUCAACAGUCUUUGCCUAUGCUGCCUCAUGAUUGGUUGAUCACUGCCAUGGGAGAAGCCAAAACCUGAUUGACAGAAACAGAUCUACUGCCUCAAGGACUCCACUACCCAGACUACCCUGGGGGAAUGAAGGAGAAACCAUCCAUCAUUCUCUCGCUCCUCAUUCCUGCAGGAGCUCUGCCUGUCUGUCUGUCUGUCUGUGCAUUUUGGCAGCCCAGGGGAGUCAGAAGUGAAACUCACAAUAAAUAAAGACAGCAGGAAACUGAUUUGUGGUGCUCAAAACAAGGUAGUUAUUUAAGAGGUUAGGGGGAAAGGUUCAACUGAAAGGCCUAUCAGGUAACUGGUGGGUCACACUGUGUCCGGCGUGGCGGCUCCUCCAACAGCCUGUGUUAAUGAACAAAACAAAAUAGAGAGAGAGAGAGAGAGAGAGAGAGAGAGCGAUGAGUCCGCAGAUUCACCCCUUGCUCUCAACCCAGGAAUAGGUCCCCUUCCUUUGGGGCAAAGAACAGGAAGACAGAGAAACAGGUGAGUCAAACAUUGCCUAGUAUCUCCUUUGUCGUUGGAUCGAAGUGCUUAUCAUACCCACUCCAGUUCUUCUGAGGACUAGAUGUCGUACCCUCUGCCUGUCUGCUCAACCGCCCGCGUGGGCUAGACGUACCCUCUGCCUCAGUGGCAGAACUAGAGUUUUAUACAUGGGAUGGCCAAGGCUACUUCAGGGGGUCCAUAGAACAUACCAGUAAAUUAGUGUUUAACCCUAACCUGGCAUCUAAGGAGCUAGGUAGAAGUGAUCAUUCGAGGUAGAAGUGAUCAUUCACUGAACCCGGAGUUCUUCAAUGUGGCAGAUAGUGAGGUCCAUAAGGGUUACUUCACUAGAAUUCAAUGUGAGGUCCAUAAGGGUUACUUCACUAGAAUUCAAUGUGGCAGAUAGUGAGGUCCAUAAGAGUUACUUCACUAGAAUUCAAUGUGGCAGAUAGUGAGGUCCAUAAGGGUUACUUCACUAGAAUUCAAUGUGGCAGAUAGUGAGGUCCAUAAGAGUUACUUCACUAGAAUUCAAUGU